CAGCCGCCGCGGGAAAACGAAGGGGGCUAGCGUUGCUCGGAAUUACUGGGCGUAAAGGGAGCGUAGGCGGAUCGUUUAGUCAGGGGUGAAAUCCCGGGGCUCAACCUCGGAACUGCCUUUGAUACUGGCGAUCUUGAGUAUGGGAGAGGUGUGUGGAACUCCGAGUGUAGAGGUGAAAUGCGUAGAGAUGUGGAGGAACACCAGUGGCGAAGGCGACUCUCUGGUCUGUAACUGACGCUGAGGAGCGAAAGCGUGGGGAGCGAACAGGAUUAGAUACCCGCGUAGUCCCUGUCUCUUAUAC
rnacentral:rRNA from 1 species